AACGAACGCUGGCGGCAUGCCUAACACAUGCAAGUCGAACGAGACCUUCGGGUCUAGUGGCGCACGGGUGCGUAACGCGUGGGAACCUGCCCUUAGGUUCGGAAUAACUCCCCGAAAGGGGUGCUAAUACCGGAUAAUGUCUUCGGACCAAAGAUUUAUCGCCUUUGGAUGGGCCCGCGUUGGAUUAGCUAGUUGGUAGGGUAAAAGCCUACCAAGGCGACGAUCCAUAGCUGGUCUGAGAGGAUGAUCAGCCACACUGGGACUGAGACACGGCCCAGACUCCUACGGGAGGCAGCAGUGGGGAAUAUUGGACACUGGGCGAAAGCCUGAUCCAGCAAUGCCGCGUGAGUGAUGAAGGCCUUAGGGUUGUAAAGCUCUUUUACCCGGGAUGAUAAUGACAGUACCGGGAGAAUAAGCUCCGGCUACCUCCGU
rnacentral:rRNA from 1 species